CACCAGCGCCACGAGUGGCGAUCGCGAUUAUUGGGCCUAAAGCGUCCGUAGUCUGCUCUGUGCAUCUUCUGUGAAAUCGCUGCGCUCAACGUAACGGCACGCGGAAGACACGGCAGAGCUUGAGACCGGGAGGCGUCGAGGGUACUCCUAGGGGACCGGUAAAAUGGUAUAAUCCUAGGAAGACCACCUGUGGCGAAGGCGCUCGACGAGAACGGAUCUGACGAUGAGGGACGAAAGCCAGGGGAGCAAACCGG
rnacentral:rRNA from 1 species